rnacentral:rRNA from 1 species
GGGGGGACCACCCUCCAAGGCAAAACACAGAUAUCGACCGAUAGCGCAUAGUACCAUGAGGGAAAGGUGAAAAGCACCCCGGGAGGGGAAUGAAAUAGAACCUGAAACCGUAUGUUUACAAGCAGUCGAAGACCGCUUAAUAAUAAGGUCAACGGCGUGCCUAUUGAAGAAUGAACCGGCGAGUUAUGAGGUCCAGCAAGGUUAAGCAGGAAAUGCGGAGCCGAAGCGAAAGCGAGUCUUAAUAGGGCGACAAGUUGGAUUGCAUAGACCCGAAACCACAGUGAUCUACCCAUGUCCAGGCUGAAGCACAGGUAAAAAUGUGUGGAGGGCCGAACCUAUAUCCGUUGAAAAGGGUUAGGAUGAGGUGUGGGUAGGGGUGAAAUUCCAAUCGAACGUGGAGAUAGCUGGUUCUCCCCGAAAUAGCUUUAGGGCUAGCCUCGAGGUAGAGAUUGCAGGCGGUAGAGCACUGAUCAGGAGAGGGGCCUACCCGGCUACCAAACCCAGUCAAACUACGAAUGGCUGCAAUUAUACUCGGGAGUCAGACUACGACUUAUAAGGGCCGUGGUCAAAAGGGAAACAGCCCAGAUCAUCAGCUAAGGUCCCAAAUGCCGUGCUAAGUGGCGAAGGAUGUGGCGUUUCAUAAACAACCAGGAUGUUGGCUCAGAAGCAGCCACCAUUUAAAGAGUGCGUAAUAGCUCACUGGUCGAGAGACGCUGCGCCGAAAAUGUCCGGGGCUCAAGCACGGAACCGAAGCUAUGGCAUGAUAGCAAUAUCAUGGGUAGGGGAGCGUUCUUAACAGGAAGAAGCAUGACCGGAAGGACAUGUGGACCGUUAAGAAGUGAGAAUGCCGGUAUGAGUAUCGAAAAGAAAGGUGAGAAUCCUUUCCACCGAAAGCCCGAGGGUUCCUGAGCAACGAUCGUCGUCUCAGGGUAAGUCGGGACCUAAGCCGAGGCGGAGACGCAUAGGCGAUGGACAACAGGUUGAAAUUCCUGUACCGGAUACAAUCGUUUGAGCGAUGGAGCGACGCAGAAAGGCAUAUGAUCGCGCGACUGGAAGAGCGCGUCCAAGUGCGUAUGUUGAAUCGGAGGCAAAUCCCUGAUUCUGAAAGCAGAGACACGAUGGGGAGUUAUACGAAAGUAUGACGAACUCAUAGAUCCUACACUGCCAAGAAAAACUUCUAGUGAGAAAGUAUCCGCCCGUACCGUAAACCGACACAGGUAGGCGGGGAGAGAAUCCUAAGGUGCGCGGGAAAACCCUCGUUAAGGAACUCGGCAAAUUGCAUCCGUAACUUAGGGAGAAGGAUGACCUUAAGUAAGCGAAAGGGAGAAACCCCUGGAACAGAACAAGGUGGCAGAAAAGAGGCCCAAGCAACUGUUUACCAAAAACACAGGUGCCUGCGAAAGCGAAAGCUGAAGUAUAGGUGCUGACGCCUGCCCGGUGCUGGAAGGUUAAGGAGAGAUGUCAGAGCAAUCGAAGCAUUGAACUGAAGCCCCAGUGAACGGCGGCCGUAACUAUAACGGUCCUAAGGUAGCGAAAUUCCUUGUCGGGUAAGUUCCGACCCGCAUGAAAGGCGUAAUGAUUUGGGCACUGUCUCAACGAGGGGCCCGGUGAAAUUGAAAUACCUGUGAAGAUGCAGGUUACCCGCGACUGGACAGAAAGACCCCAUGGAGCUUCACUGCAGCUUGAGAUUGAAUCUCGGUGAUGCAUGCACAGGAUAGGUGGGAGACUUUGAAGUAUGGGCUUUGGCUUAUACUGAGUCGAUGUUGGGAUACCACCCUUGUAUUGCUGAGAUUCUAACACGGAGGCUAACAACCUCGUGGACCAUCUCAGGUAGGCGGUUUGACUGGGGCGGUCGCCUCCGAAAGAGUAACGGAGGCGCC